GAUGAACGCUGGCGGCGUGCCUAAUACAUGCAAGUCGAGCGAACAGAUGAGGAGCUUGCUCCUCUGACGUUAGCGGCGGACGGGUGAGUAACACGUGGAUAACCUACCUAUAAGACUGGGAUAACUUCGGGAAACCGGAGCUAAUACCGGAUAAUAUAUUGAACCGCAUGGUUCAAUAGUGAAAGACGGUUUUGCUGUCACUUAUAGAUGGAUCCGCGCCGCAUUAGCUAGUUGGUAAGGUAACGGCUUACCAAGGCAACGAUGCGUAGCCGACCUGAGAGGGUGAUCGGCCACACUGGAACUGAGACACGGUCCAGACUACUACGGGAGGCAGCAGUAGGGAAUCUUCCGCAAUGGGCGAAAGCCUGACGGAGCAACGCCGCGUGAGUGAUGAAGGUCUUCGGAUCGUAAAACUCUGUUAUUAGGGAAGAACAAAUGUGUAAGUGACUAUGCACGUCUUGACGGUACCUAAUCAGAAAGCCACGGCUAACUACGUG
rnacentral:rRNA from 1 species